rnacentral:rRNA from 1 species
GACGUAGGGCGCGAGCGUUGUCCGGAUUUAUUGGGCGUAAAGAGCUCGUAGGCGGCUUGUCGCGUCGACUGUGAAAACCCGUGGCUCAACCAUGUGGUCUGCAGUCGAUACGGGCAGGCUAGAAUUCGGUAGGGGAGACUGGAAUUCCUGGUGUAGCGGUGAAAUGCGCAGAUAUCAGGAAGAACACCCGUGGCGAAAGCGGCUCUCUGGAACGGUACUAACGCUGAGACGCGAAAGCGUGGGGAGCGAACAGG